GAGGGUUGACAAAGAAAAUAGUAAUCCAAACUUGCAAAAUAUUUUUUCACAAACAUCUAGUCCUAAUAAGACUCCAGGUUCAAGGCCGACUGCUAUUUCUUCAAAUGCGCUCAUACAAGCUGCAGCAAGGCAAUCUCGAAUGUUUAAAGCAAUGGAUCCAAAGAACUAGCUGGAUUGGACUCUAGAUCACGGGCAGUUUAGUCUUCGAAGUUAAUUAGGAUGGCUAAAUUACAUUUGAGUUUUAUUUGAUGGAUAUUUUUUAUCAGAAUUAUGAAUUGUAUGAAUCUACAUAUUAUACGUAUGGUUUUGAAUAUUGUAAUUGAAACCCUGUAAUUUUUUUUACGGUUGCAAUAGACUAUUAUCACAACCCA